rnacentral:rRNA from 1 species
CCUACGGGUGGCAGCAGUGAGGAAUAUUGGUCAAUGGACGAGAGUCUGAACCAGCCAAGUAGCGUGAAGGAUGACGGCACUAUGGGUUGUAAACUUCUUUUAUAAAGGAAUAAAACGAGGCACGUGUGCCUUUUUGCAUGUACUUUAUGAAUAAGCAUCGGCUAACUCCGUGCCAGCAGCCGCGGUAAUACGGAGGAUCCGAGCGUUAUCCGGAUUUCUUGGGUUUAAAGGGCGCGUCGAUGGGUUGUUAAGUCAGUUGGGAAAGUUCGCGGCUCAACCGUAAAAUUGCCAUUGAUACUGGCAGUCUUGAGUUCAGUUGAGGUAAGCGGAAUUCGUGGUGUAGCGGUGAAAUGCUUAGAUAUCACGAAGAACCCCGAUUGCGAAGGCAGCUUACUAAACUGUGACUGACAUUGAUGCUCGAAAGUGUGGGUAUCAAACAGGAUUAGAUACCCCGGUAGUC